GUGGGGAAUAUUGCACAAUGGGGGAAACCCUGAUGCAGCGACGCCGCGUGAGCGAUGAAGUAUUUCGGUAUGUAAAGCUCUAUCAGCAGGGAAGAAAAUGACGGUACCUGACUAAGAAGCACCGGCUAAAUACGUGCCAGCAGCCGCGGUAAUACGUAUGGUGCAAGCGUUAUCCGGAUUUACUGGGUGUAAAGGGAGCGUAGACGGCUGUGUAAGUCUGAUGUGAAAACCCGGGGCUCAACCCCGGGACUGCAUUGGAAACUAUGCAGCUAGAGUGUCGGAGAGGUAAGCGGAAUUCCUAGUGUAGCGGUGAAAUGCGUAGAUAUUAGGAGGAACACCAGUGGCGAAGGCGGCUUACUGGACGAUAACUGACGUUGAGGCUCGAAAGCGUGGGGAGCAAACAGGAUUAGAUACCCCUGUAGUCC
rnacentral:rRNA from 1 species